rnacentral:rRNA from 1 species
CCUACGGGGGGCAGCAGUGAGGAAUAUUGGUCAAUGGGCGCAAGCCUGACCCAGCAACGCCGCGUGAAGGAAGAAGGCUUUCUGGUUGUAAACUUCUUUUAAGAGGGAAGAGCAGAAGACGGUACCUCUUGAAUUAGCCACGGCUAACUACGAGCCAGCAGCCACCGUAAUACGUAGGUGGCAGGCGAUGUCCGGAUUUACUGGGGUUAAAGGGCGUAUUGCCGGGCUGACAAAUGAGAUGUGAAAUCCCGUGGCGCAACCACGGAACUGCAUUUGAAACGGUCGGUCUUGAGGAUCGGAGAGGUAGGCGGAAUGCGUAGUGUAGCGGUGAAAUGCGUAGAUAUUAGGAAGAACACCAGUUGCGAAGGCAGCCUGCUGGACGACAACUGACGGUGAGGCGCGAAAGCGUGGGGAGCAAACAGGAUUAGAUACCCUAGUAGUC